CAGCCUGGAAUGAUGAUUCACAUUCAUGUCUCUUCUCUGAUAAACUCUUGAAGAAAAUCAUAUGUAUCUGAUCAGGCUG
ensembl:snoRNA